rnacentral:snRNA from 1 species
ACAACUGAUAUGAUCUCUGUUGU